rnacentral:rRNA from 1 species
UACGUAGGGAGCAAGCGUUGUUCGGAUUUACUGGGCGUAAAGGGCGCGUAGGCGGCAAUUCAAGUCACUUGUGAAAUCUCCGGGCUUAACUCGGAACGGUCAAGUGAUACUGCUUUGCUAGAGUGCGGAGGGCAAUCGGAAUUCUCGGUGUAGCGGUGAAAUGCGUAGAUAUCGAGAGGAACACCUGAGGUGAAGACGGGUUGCUGGGCCGACACGUGACGCUGGCAGCGCGAAAGCCAGGGGAGCAACGGG